GAUGAACGCUGGCGGCGCGCCUAACACAUGCAAGUCGAACGGCACCUAUCUUCGGAUAGAAGCGAGUGGCGAACGGCUGAGUAACACGUGGAGAACCUGCCCCCUCCCCCGGGAUAGCCGCCCGAAAGGACAGGUAAUACCGGAUACCCCCGGGCGCCGCAUGGCGCCCGGGCUAAAGCCCCGACGGGAGGGGAUGGCUCCGCGGCCCAUCAGGUAGACGGCGGGGUGACGGCCCACCGUGCCGACAACGGGUAGCCGGGUUGAGAGACCGACCGGCCAGAUUGGGACUGAGACACGGCCCAGACUCCUACGGGAGGCAGCAGUGGGGAAUCUUGCGCAAUGGGGGGAACCCUGACGCAGCGACGCCGCGUGCGGGACGGAGGCCUUCGGGUCGUAAACCGCUUUCAGCAGGGAAGAGUCAAGACUGUACCUGCAGAAGAAGCCCCGGCUAACUACGUGCCAGCAGCCGCGGUAAUACGUAGGGGGCGAGCGUUAUCCGGAUUCAUUGGGCGUAAAGCGCGCGUAGGCGGCCCGGCAGGCCGGGGGUCGAAGCGGGGGGCUCAACCCCCCGAAGCCCCCGGAACCUCCGCGGCUUGGGUCCGGUAGGGGAGGGUGGAACACCCGGUGUAGCGGUGGAAUGCGCAGAUAUCGGGUGGAACACCGGUGGCGAAGGCGGCCCUCUGGGCCGAGACCGACGCUGAGGCGCGAAAGCUGGGGGAGCGAACAGGAUUAGAUACCCUGGUAGUCCCAGCCGUAAA
rnacentral:rRNA from 1 species